CCCCAUCUUCCCAGCUAGGGAAUCGGAAGCAUUCGUAGUUAAGUCAUGUUAUUUACAAACACGAUUCCACCAACUCCAUUUCAAGGUUGGUCCCCCCCGGCGACAGAGAUUAAUGAAUUCCUCUCGGAGACACCCUCUUCCACCUAACGCAGCAACUCUCUUUUCCUAGCCGCUGGCUGGGAAUUCGGGUGCGACAGCUUCCGAAGUUGGAGUGGAUUCCAUAGGGCAUUCCUCCACCUCAGAAGGGCACGACUUCUCGGCGUGUCACCUCGGCUGGGACCCACUCAGGACGCAGGGUGGCAUCUCCCGUCCUCAUUGAUUUCCCCGAAUCGCGAGGCUACGGUUCGGGCUGAAACUUUCUCGCUUCCGAACUCAGGCGCAACAUCUGCCCUUUCUCACUCGGCAGGAACUUCCCCGGGCCUCGGCUCUCACUCGGAAAGAGCGACGCCGGCUUCUCGCACGCUCCCGCCGUCCUCCUCCGUCUGGAGCCGCGCGCCCGGCGCCGGCGCGCGCGUGUCCCCACGGCGCCUCCGCCUCCCCCGCCCCACCGCCGCGGAGGGAGCCGGGAGCGCGCGCCGCGGCAGGGACGACGUGCGCGAGACGCACGGCCCCGCGCGCCGAGCGCCGGAAACAGCCGGCCGGGCCUCGCGCGGGGCGCGCGCGCCGCCCCCACCCCGCCGCCGCGGCCUCGCGCGCGCGCGCGCGCACUAAGGCGCCGCCGCCACCGCCGCCGCCGCCGCCGCCGCCGCCGCCGCCGCCACCGCCGCGGCUGCUGCUCCGGCUGCUGCAGGAGGCGGCGCUGGCUGGCUGGCGGCUGCGCUCGCUCCAGUCGGCGAGCGGAGCAGCGAGCGAGCGAGCGUGUGUGUGUGUUUUUUAAAGAUGGCCGGAGCGGCGGCGGCGGUGGCCGCGGGAGCAGCAGCUGGAGCCGCCGCGGCAGCCGUGUCGGUGGCGGCUCCGGGCCGGGCCUCGGCUCCCCCGCCGCCUCCGCCCGUGUACUGUGUGUGCCGGCAGCCGUACGACGUGAACCGCUUCAUGAUCGAGUGCGAUAUCUGCAAGGACUGGUUCCACGGCAGGUAAAUAAACCCCCUCAGCCCCGCCGCCGUCGUCGCCGGCCACCGACCAGCCGCCGUUGCUGCCAGCCGGCUGCCCGCGCCUCCCUCCGGCCCGGCCGCCGCGCCGCGCCCGGGGGCCCGACUGCCGAGCCCCCCCUCCCCCCCGAGCCAGGCGGAGGGGCGCGCGGGGGUCCCCGGUUCCCGGGCCGGCUGCUGAGGGGAACGGGUGGGCUCGCCGGGCCCGGGCGAAGAGUCGCCACAACAAACAGGAACAAAGGGGCGGGCGGAGAAGUUGGCAGGGGGAGCCGGGGCGAGCGGACGCGGCGGGCGGCGCGGCGGGGUUGGCGGCGGAGCGCAGGCAGGGCCCGCAACCCCUCGCUCAUCACCGCCCGGGCCGCCACCGCCACCGCCACCGCCGCCGCGCCGCCCUCCGCGCCCGGGGACUCCGGCCCGAGUCACCGGCCGCCCCGCGCCUGCCGGCCGGCUGCCGCUUCUGCCUGGCUUCCGGGCGACCGCGCGUCGCCCCGCCGCGGGUCCCGUCGCGCC
rnacentral:lncRNA from 1 species